rnacentral:rRNA from 1 species
CUACGGGUUGCUCCAGUGGGGAAUCUUAGACAAUGGGCGCAAGCCUGAUCUAGCCAUGCCGCGUGAGUGACGAAGGCCUUAGGGUCGUAAAGCUCUUUCGCUGGGGAAGAUAAUGACGGUACCCAGUAAAGAAACCCCGGCUAACUCCGUGCCAGCAGCCGCGGUAAUACGGAGGGGGUUAGCGUUGUUCGGAAUUACUGGGCGUAAAGCGCGCGUAGGCGGAUCAGAAAGUUGGGGGUGAAAUCCCGGGGCUCAACCCCGGAACUGCCUUCAAAACUCCUGGUCUUGAGUUCGAGAGAGGGGAGUGGAAUUCCGAGUGUAGAGGUGAAAUUCGUAGAUAUUCGGAGGAACACCAGUGGCGAAGGCGGCUCACUGGCUCGAUACUGACGCUGAGGUGCGAAAGCGUGGGGAGCAAACAGGAUUAGAUACCCCGGUAGUC